rnacentral:rRNA from 1 species
UACGGGGGGGGCAAGCGUUGUUCGGAAUUACUGGGCGUAAAGGGCUCGUAGGUGGCCAACUAAGUCAGACGUGAAAUCCCUCGGCUUAACCGGGGAACUGCGUCUGAUACUGGUUGGCUUGAGUGUGGGAGAGGGAUGCGGAAUUCCAGGUGUAGCGGUGAAAUGCGUAGAGAUCCGGAGGAACACCGACGGCGUAGGCAGCGCCCUGGACGACACCUGACGCUGAGGCACGAAAGCUGGGGGAGCAAACAGG